rnacentral:rRNA from 1 species
CCUACGGGCGGCUGCAGUGGGGAAUAUUGGACAAUGGGCGAAAGCCUGAUCCAGCCAUGCCUCGUGUGUGAAGAAGGCCUUCGGGUUGUAAAGCACUUUCAGUGGGGAAGAAAGCCUUGGGGCUAAUACCCUCGAGGAAGGACAUCACCCACAGAAGAAGCACCGGCUAACUCCGUGCCAGCAGCCACGGUAAUACGGAGGGUGCGAGCGUUAAUCGGAAUUACUGGGCGUAAAGCGCGCGUAGGCGGUCUGAUAAGCCGGUUGUGAAAGCCCCGGGCUCAACCUGGGAACGGCAUCCGGAACUGUCAGGCUAGAGUGCAGGAGAGGAAGGUAGAAGUCCCGGUGUAGCGGUGAAAUGCGUAGAGAUCGGGAGGAAUACCAGUGGCGAAGGCGGCCUUCUGGACUGACACUGACGCUGAGGUGCGAAAGCGUGGGUAGCAAACAGGAUUAGAUACCCUAGUAGUC